rnacentral:rRNA from 1 species
AGUGAACGCUGGCGGUAGGCCUAACACAUGCAAGUCGAACGGCAGCACAGUAAGAGCUUGCUCUUACGGGUGGCGAGUGGCGGACGGGUGAGGAAUACAUCGGAAUCUACUUUUUCGUGGGGGAUAACGUAGGGAAACUUACGCUAAUACCGCAUACGACCUACGGGUGAAAGCAGGGGAUCUUCGGACCUUGCGCGAUUGAAUGAGCCGAUGUCGGAUUAGCUAGUUGGCGGGGUAAAGGCCCACCAAGGCGACGAUCCGUAGCUGGUCUGAGAGGAUGAUCAGCCACACUGGAACUGAGACACGGUCCAGGCUCCUACGGGAGGCAGCAGUGGGGAAUAUUGGACAAUGGGCGCAAGCCUGAUCCAGCCAUACCGCGUGGGUGAAGAAGGCCUUCGGGUUGUAAAGCCCUUUUGUUGGGAAAGAAAAGCAGCAGGUUAAUACCCCGCUGUUCUGACGGUACCCAAAGAAUAGGCACCGGCUAACUUCGUG